UUUUUUGGGCCAUUUGAGUUUGUAAGUUUGGGUCUGAUUUGAUUUUUUUUUUUGUAAAUGGAUUUGGACUCUUAUUAUUUUUUGUUUUUAUUUUAAUAUUUGGUUUGGUUUUUUUGGUUGGGCUCGGGCAAAAUUGGGCUUCUACAGCUGCCCCUCUUUACUCGUUGUCGUGUAACGAGAAUGGAGCAAAUACUUUAAGAAGGACCAAUUUUGUCUAGUCUUGCCGAAUUUUGACUUCUUUGGUACUUCUCUUUUUCAAGUGGCUUCAUCAUAUCCCACUGCAACUUCAAGGGUAUAGGAAUUGUAGUUUC
rnacentral:lncRNA from 1 species